rnacentral:lncRNA from 1 species
UCUUUUCUGGAAAACUUUAUUAGCAACAGUGUUUACAGCAGUCAUGGAGACCAAGGUUAUCUUAGUAUCACUGUUAAAAUAAUCUUCCAGAAACUGAAAUCUUACAAAGCAAACUUAGGCUCUGCAAAUAACAAUGAUGAAUUUUAUGUAAAUUCAAUAAAAAUUCCUAAUCAAAAGACCUACAAUUCAAUGUUCUGUACAUACACACAUUUAGAAGAAAAAAAAAAAAAGGAAAAAAUAAAUACAUGCUUUCACAGGGUCUGCUGGAUCCACACAGAUCUUGGUCUUAUUCUUCAUUCAUCUACUUGUACCCAAAUCAAGAAUCUUGCAUGAAAACUUCUAGAUGAGAACAGAGCACACUCUGGAGCAAUCAAAAAAGGACCUUACAGCCCUUAAGCCAGACACACCUUCACAUUUCCAAAAAAGCAGCCGAAAUUGCCUAGUUAUGAACUACAGCUGUUCCACUGAUUAGCAUGAGCUCAGUAAUAAUUUUUGCAAAAUUUAAGGCAACUUAUAAAAACUUUUCUCUCCUUAGUGUGUAUUCUGAAGUACUGUACUCACAUUAUACAUUCUCUGCAUCUCCUCAAAUUAUCAGAAACAUUGACACUCACUGUUUUUAGACAGUGCAUACACAGAAAGACAACUCAGUUUUGACAUAGAAAAGGAAAUACGACUUUCUUUGCCUGAAGAAAUUUUGUUCUCCUUUUCUUGAGGGCAGAAAACAAAAUAAAAGGGAAUCUUCCUAGCCCAUGCUUAUACAGUGAAAAAAAAAAAAGGGAAAAUAGCCUACUCAUGAAAAAAUGGUUAUAAUCUACAUUUUAUUGAGAAAGACCUAAAAUUCAUUAACUGUAGUAGUGGAAUGCAGAAAUAAUUUUAAGUUUUUUCAUUUUCAAGCAAUUCCUGGGUCAAAGAAGAAAAGAGAACAGUUCUGGAUUCCUCCCCCCAAACAACAUAUCUGAUAAAUUCAAUCUAUUUUUAUGCAAAUGUUUAUGAAUAAGCUCACAGUUGUCUUAAGGCUGAAAAGUGAAAUGAUGUAUAGGAAGCAUUAAAGAAAUGUUAAACUGUGAGCUAACAACUCCACUGGAGUACUCCGGUGAUAUACGACAUGAUGAGAGAAAUUUGCACAGCAACCAUACACCUGAAAAUGGAGUCACUGCAAGUUCUACUUGUUAAACACACGAAUCUGCUCUCAGUUAAGAGGGAAAAGUAAAAUAAUGAUGUACACAUUUACCCUUAAUCCUCUGCCAAUGCACCAUUUCAACUUAUUGCUAGGAGCAGAUGGGCAAUUAUACAAAAAAAUUUGAAAUACAAAAGCCUUGAGGGCAGGGGAGUUGUUACUGGUUGCUUUUCAAGCCUGCUGCUGUUCAGAGGCAUUUCC